UGACUCACAGGGCCCUGGAAGCAGAACGAGGCGCCCCAACCCAGACACUUGGGCUGCAUUGGAGAGGACAGAGUUGCCGUCCUGACCUGCUGUGAGCAGUGUGGCUGUGGCAAGAGACAGAUCAGCUCUGGGGGGAAGCCUCAAGCGAUGAAGCCAGGACACAGUGCAGAACGGCUGUUUGAUGGGGAUGGGGAGACUGGGAGCAGCUGUGCGGAAGUGCAGAGGAAAAAGGAGCUCAGCCUGCCCUCAGGAAGCUCCGGAUUCAUGGGAGGAAGGUGCUAUCCAUGUCACCAGUGCUGUGUAGGCUGCCGUGGAAGAGAAGAUUCACUCGGGAGACCCCUGGACAUCCUGGGAAGAAAGCAGGACACUCUGUGUAACCAGAAGCCUUGGACCCACUACCCACUGCCAUGGAUCCUCGAACAGGCCUUUUGCCCUCUCGAGAAUUAGCUUCUCUGAGCCUUUUUUGGUCCUGCCAGGGCCCCAAGCAUUGUUGGGAAAUUGGGGAGUCCCUUGGCUCUGCGAUGAGUCAUUGGCGCUGGCAGAGAGAAGCCUUCCCAUUUGCAUUCACGCAAAUGAAGUGGGGAAAUCCUAGGUUUGGAAACUUAGACCGUGAGCGCUUCUCUUUUCCAAGUUUCCUAUAACCCAUAGAAGUCAGGGCUUAAAUCAGAAGAGCUUCCUGACUUUGCCCUUAUUAUGAUCCUGAAUAGAUACUGCCCUCUGCAUGUUAGUUUCCUCAUCUGUAAAACAGACUCACAUGCUAAUUGUGAGGCUCACCUGAAGUGAGAGGGGUGAAAGGUGUCUGUAAACUUGAAAGUCCUAUGCAGAUGGUGCUGCUAGGAGGGUGACAGCAUGAGCCUGGUUACUGUCAUCCCUCAGACCUAUGGCUUCUCCUGGAGCCUCACCACCACUAGGUCAUAGCUGGAGGCUGCCUGGGUUCAUCUUGUGACAUCACAGCGGACACACAAGCCCGGGCAGAAAAAUGAAAAUGCUCUAUAGAUGCUCCCGAAAUGUGGUCCCUACGUGUUGCCAUGACCAGAGAACUUUCUGGAAACAGCACCCAAGGCAUUGGGUAGCUUUUCUUUCCCAUAAAUAGCAUCUCCUGCUGUGUGGCCCAGAGUCUCCCGAGAAUCUCUGCUGCCCAGAUCCCCCUUCCAGCUCCUCCUGUCAGUUGGGGGGCAGGCUUGGCAAUGCUGGAGAACAACUGGCACCUGCAGACAUCAGCAACGGCUCGGUCUGAGGUGCACUCUGGCUUGGUGCAAAUGAGCCCAGCCCCUGGGCUCCUAAUAUGGCUUCUCCAGCCUUCUUUCCAGGAGGCUGGCUCAUUUCUCAGUCUCAAUCCUGGAAUGACAGAAGGUUCUCUCCUCUAAAAACCCACUUUUCUAGGCACUCUAUGUUGAAAUCUCAAACUCCUGGACACAAUCCAAAGGUGAAGCUUCCUGAUACACCUGCCCCUCCCAUUUUGAACACAGCAUUCCAGCCUCUUGGCAGCUUGGGAUUGGUUCGUAGCUGCAUUGCGGCACUUUCCUCCUCUGGCCAGGUGUCAUUGCCAUCUGGGCAUGUGGUCAUCUCCUGUACAUGACUGUGACCCCUACAGGAUAAGGAGCCUCUCCCUCUUCCUGCACCUUCCACAGUGAACCAAGCACUGUGUGGGAUGAGAGACUCAGGCUUUGAGACUCACUCAAUACUCGCAGUACUGCCACUCGUGGUUUGGUAUUGAGCAGUAGUUUGUAAACCAGUUUCAUACGUAUAUUUUUUUUAUUUAAACUUUCCUGAAAUGUUGUCUUCUGCAUCAGGGAGAUGGCAGGAAUGAGAAUGACUGUCAGAGCCUUUCCUUCCCAGGUCCCAGCACAGUGCAGCACGUCGGAGACCCUGCGGCACGUCGGAGACCCUGCAGAAGGGCCUAUUCAGUGAGUUCUCAAGGUGC
rnacentral:lncRNA from 1 species